CGAAGCGUGCGAUUGGAUUGCACGUCUAAGCAGUAAGGCUGAGUAUUAGGCAAAUCCGGUACUCAUUAAGGCUGAGCUGUGAUGGGGAGAAGACAUUGUGUCUUCGAGUCGUUGAUUUCACACUGCCGAGAAAAGCCUCUAGAUAGAAAAUAGGUGCCCGUACCGCAAACCGACACAGGUAGUCAAGAUGAGAAUUCUAAGGUGAGCGAGCGAACUCUCGUUAAGGAACUCGGCAAAAUGACCCCGUAACUUCGGGAGAAGGGGUGCUCUUUAGGGUUAACGCCCAGAAGAGCCGCAGUGAAUAGGCCCAAGCGACUGUUUAUCAAAAACACAGGUCUCUGCUAAACCGUAAGGUGAUGUAUAGGGGCUGACGCCUGCCCGGUGCUGGAAGGUUAAGAGGAGUGGUUAGCUUCUGCGAAGCUACGAAUCGAAGCCCCAGUAAACGGCGGCCGUAACUAUAACGGUCCUAAGGUAGCGAAAUUCCUUGUCGGGUAAGUUCCGACCCGCACGAAAGGCGUAACGAUUUGGGCACUGUCUCAACGAGAGACUCGGUGAAAUCAUAGUACCUGUGAAGAUGCAGGUUACCCGCGACAGGACGGAAAGACCCCGUGGAGCUUUACUGUAGCCUGAUAUUGAAAUUCGGCACAGCUUGUACAGGAUAGGUAGGAGCCUUUGAAACGUGAGCGCUAGCUUACGUGGAGGCGCUGGUGGGAUACUACCCUAGCUGUGUUGGCUUUCUAACCCGCACCACUUAUCGUGGUGGGAGACAGUGUCAGGCGGGCAGUUUGACUGGGGCGGUCGCCUCCUAAAAGGUAACGGAGGCGCUCAAAGGUUCCCUCAGAAUGGUUGGAAAUCAUUCAUAGAGUGUAAAGGCAUAAGGGAGCUUGACUGCGAGACCUACAAGUCGAGCAGGGUCGAAAGACGGACUUAGUGAUCCGGUGGUUCCGCAUGGAAGGGCCAUCGCUCAACGGAUAAAAGCUACCCCGGGGAUAACAGGCUUAUCUCCCCCAAGAGUUCACAUCGACGGGGAGGUUUGGCACCUCGAUGUCGGCUCAUCGCAUCCUGGGGCUGUAGUCGGUCCCAAGGGUUGGGCUGUUCGCCCAUUAAAGCGGUACGCGAGCUGGGUUCAGAACGUCGUGAGACAGUUCGGUCCCUAUCCGUCGUGGGCGUAGGAAAUUUGAGAGGAGCUGUCCUUAGUACGAGAGGACCGGGAUGGACAUACCUCUGGUGUACCAGUUGUCGUGCCAACGGCAUAGCUGGGUAGCUAUGUGUGGACGGGAUAAGUGCUGAAAGCAUCUAAGCAUGAAGCCCCCCUCAAGAUGAGAUUUCCCAACUUCGGUUAUAAGAUCCCUCAAAGAUGAUGAGGUUAAUAGGUUCGAGGUGGAAGCAUGGUGACAU
rnacentral:rRNA from 1 species